UACGGGGGGAGCAAACGUUGUUCGGAAUCACUGGGCGUAAAGGGCGUGUAGGCGGCUGAAUAAGUGGGAUGUUAAAUCCCCCGGCUCAACCGGGGACCUGCAUCUCAUACUGUUCAGCUCGAGCACAUCAGAGGAGACUGGAAUUCCCGGUGUAGCGGUGAAAUGCGUAGAUAUCAGGAGGAACACCGGUGGCGAAGGCGGGUCUCUGGGCCGAUACUGACGCUGAGGAGCGAAAGCGUGGGGAGCGAACAGG
rnacentral:rRNA from 1 species